ensembl:lncRNA
GUCUCCAAGCAGGAAGUGCCACACAGCAGCCAGAUUUUAGCCACCAACCUCCAGUAUCACCACAGCACGACGAAACCAGAUCCUCAGUGAGAACCUUCUUGUCUCUGAUGGUCGUCUGGAUCUGGAUGCCGCAGUCAUGGAGACCCAUGUGAUGCAGCAGCAGGGCGGUCAGGUUGGCUAAGUCCAGGCCGGCCAUGUUGAGGGUGGUACCAUGGGCCGAUUCAAAGAUGGCGACUCCAUUGGCGCCGAUGUUACCGCUGGGCGUCACUCUGAGUCCUCCAACCAGACCAGCACACAGAUCACAGAGGACGUAGAACUGGGUCGGAUUGUGAACCCUGUUGAGACACACAGUGUCCAGAAGAACCACCAGUCAAAUGCGUUAAAAAUCGCUUGAAAAGUUUGUUGACUUUGCUUCAAAAUAACGUGUUUUUUUUCCUCCCACAGAUUAUAACCUCAUUACUUCGACCAAGCUGAUGAACGUUAGCCACUAGGUAUUGACCAGAAGAAGCUUUUGGAGCCUGUUUGUCAAAGGUAAACUGAUAACCAGCCAGUAUAAGGGCUUUGUGACAAAAACAUCUUCAACAUCUAGUAAAGUCAAGUUUAGAUUUUACUUUCUAACAGAUUUAAAACAUGAUAGAGCGUUACCACAUGAGACAACAUUAAACGCGUUAUUGUCACACAAGGAGGACGGCAUGAAUAUUUUAAACCACUGAGUCAGACAGUCUGCAUGACAUGAAUCCCAAAUUGUUGCUUUUGUGAUUUGCUAAUUGCAAUUAAGAUUUUAUAGACUUGAGAAAAUGAGAUAGCAUUCUUUCCAGAGAGGACUAAAAGUUCUGAAGAAUGUGCGUGAGCCAGGAUAACAUAUAUUUUGGGAAUGCCCAGUAAUAAAACACUGACAGUCAAAAAUGCACAAAUCAUUGGACAGCACUGUAAAAUACCCUUUCGGCUUGUUUAUUUCUAUUUGAGUGACUUUGAUUGAGGGGAAUUUACAAUAAAAACAUUUGCUGGUUCCCGACCCCUCCAGUAAGUUAAUUCAGUAUCUAAAAAUGUGUUUUUCACUUGGAAAUUUGCUGUAAGUUAUAGUCAAAAGGGAUUUUCUGUGUACGACAGUAUACAAUCAUAUCUUAUAGAGUUAGCACAUUAUCUGUUAUAAAUGAGUCUAUUUUUUCGUUCAUUUAGUUUUUUUCUGCUUUUUUAAAAUAAUAUGGCAUACAGUUGUAUUAGCUAUGGUCCCUGGUCCUUGACUUCUAAUGCUUUCUGUAACUUUAAGGUCUGUGUAGUUAGUGAAAAGUUACCG